rnacentral:lncRNA from 1 species
GUGCUAUACUCUUUACAUUCCUACUUUCACUGCUUUAUGGUGCACCCUUGGCAUACAAUGCUCCUUCACUUCAGAAUUGAAGUCCUGCCUCUCUAACUGAAAGAUCUCAUGAUACCCUUUCGGCAGGUGUUUGAUAAAGACAUCGGCCAAGACAAGCGAUUGGGAAUCGUGAAGUUACCGCUCGUUGAUCUCGAAGCAGAGUCUUGGAAAGAUAUGGAGUUGAGACUUUUGCCGGCGCUUGAUAUGAUGAAAAUUAAAGAUAAGAAGGAUAGAGGAACUCUUACGCUGAAGGUCAGACUCUUUUGAAUCCUCCCUCUGUCUUUUUGGCUAUAGAGCUGACAUCAGACAACCAACCUGCCUUUUAUUCGUAGGGGGUCCUUACAUCUUAAGGAAGUUGCCCUGGGCCCAAAACCAGCCUUUUCCCAGUACUAGAUUUAAGUAUAAAUUGAUAGCUAUUGGUAGUUCGAUCUAGUGAUGACGUUGAAUGAAAUAAUAUAAAUUUAGGUGAAUGAGUGAAUCAAUUCAAAAUUUGCAUUAGUUGAUAACCGAGAAUUUACUACAAUUUAAACCAAAUUAUACAUUGUUGAUCUCGAAGCAGGGUCUUGGAAAGAUAUGGAGUUGAGACUUUUGCCGGCGCUUGAUAUGAUGAAGAUUAAAGAUAAGAAGGAUAGAGGAACUCUUACGCUUAAGGUCAGACUCUUUUGAAUCCUCCCUCUGUCUUUUUGGCUAUAGAGCUGACAUCAGACAACCAACCUGCCUUUUAUUCGUAGGGGGUCCUUACAUCUUAAGGAAGUUGCCCUGGGCCCAAAACCAGCCUUUUCCCAGUACUAGAUUUAAGUAUAAAUUGAUAGCUAUUGGUAGUUCGAUCUAGUGAUGACGUUGAAUGAAAUAAUAUAAAUUUAGGUGAAUGAGUGAAUCAAUUCAAAAUUUGCAUUAGUUGAUAACCGAGAAUUUACUACAAUUUAAACCAAAUUAUACAUACAUGGAUCCAAAAAGUAUAAGAAAUUUAGUGUUGGAACAUAAUUUCGAAUAUUUAAAUGAUUUUUAAGUAGUGUUGUGAGAUUUUCUGGGUGAAAUUCAGGGCGUUGAUGUAACAUAUCCAUCAUUCAUAAUUAAACGAGUUUCAGAAACACCAAACAAAUCGUACAAUAACUAAUAAGGGAGGGAUGGAUCGUUAAGCUCAAUAGAAUAGAAUCUUAGAGACGAAGAAUGACCUCUAUUAGCUACCAUGUCAAUGUAAGUUUUACUUUACGGUAUUAUUUUUUCUAUACAUGAUCCCUCUUAUUUAGUUAUUUGUCCUACAUUCGUGGCAUCACAACCCACUUGGUAUUAUUUCCCCUGGCAAAGGUACUGUACCACGAAUUCAGCAAAGAGGAGCAGAUGGCUGCUUUGGAGGAGGAGAAGAGGGUCUUAGAAGAAAGGAAGAAACUGAAAGAAGCAGGAGUAAUAGGGAGCACAAUGGACGCCCUCGACGGUGCAGCUUCGUUAGUUGGCACGGGUCUAGCCGGAGGGGCUGGGCUCGUGGGGAGCGGCAUUGGAGCCGGAGCUAACCUGGUAGGAAGCGGGGUGUCGGGUGGGGUUGGCAUGGUUGGGAGUGGGCUUAGCAAAGCUGGAAAGUUCAUGGGGAGGACGAUUACUGGUCAGAGCAGCAAGAGGAGUAGCUCUAAUUCUUCUACCCCCACCGGUCAGGAAAACGGCGCAGGAAAGCAGCUCUAGAUGAAGAGAGUAUUUUGCAGGGUACGUACUCUUUCGCCUCUCUGCUCAAAUGUGUGUACGAUUGUGUUGUUUUCUGUUGGAUUUGGAUUCUUGUGUGCCAAAUGUUAGUAGAUAUGGAUGAAUGUUUUAACCAACAUUCUGUACAAAAAAAAAAAAGAAAUAAUUUGAUUGCGCUCGCUAAAAUAUUAUCCACUUUUCUCGUGGACCUUUUGCUUUGGUAUAGUUAGUUGAUUGGAUUGCUUUCUGUAGUCUUUGUUUGUUUUUACUUUAUAGAUUAAACAUAAGGAGGGUUAAUUAAACAAACUAAUUUAAGGAUGUAAGACAGAUCGAUUAAUCAAAUACACAAAGCACCAUUAAAACUAAGUAAAGGCAGGCCAGGCCAGGCCGACAAGGCGUGAGCUUAGAGUGGGGGAAUCAAGCUGGUUGGGUGGUGAAGUCACGUGAUCUCAUCACCAGUUUUAGUUUCCUUGGGGCCACAGCUUCACGUUUCCUUUUUUUCGAGGACGGGAUUCUGGAUUCCUGCCAAAUAAAUAAGUCAAAUUUACAGGCUUGAAAUUUACCCAACUUGUGAAAUUAGUAGAGAGAGAACGUCCCUUUCAUCGUUCUAAGAUUGAGGUCAAACCUCCAAUUGGCGGCAGCAGUUGACUCAACAGUCUUCUCCAUCUGUUGCCUCUCAUGAAUGUCAAACACUAUAUAAUUUAGAUGGUGACGUAAAUGGGCCGGCUUGGUUUACUUCAGCCCUAAUUCAAUAAAUUUAUAUUAUAUAGUUUGAUUGUAAUCUAAUUAACGUUAACCUUUCCUAUGUGUUUCGGAAAGACAACUUGUUUGGCUCAUACAAGUUAUUUUGGUCGUAAAAGAAAACAUUACAACUGCUUUGUUAUAACUAAAGAUAUUAGUUACUCGGUUGUUAAUUUUGUUAAUGUUAGUGAUCUACGUGUGAUUUGAGAAGACAUUCUUCAUGGUUAAGAAACCACAAGUGCCAAGGACAUACAUACAUACAUAGGCCAACUAGGCACAAUGGUCAAAGGCAAAAGGUUGCGUGAAAAGCUGUUUCGACCCGUGAACCGACUUAGAACCCCAUUGGCCAAACCAAACCUUGAUACCCCCGUGGUUUCAUAACUUUGUCAACCCGGAGAGAGAGAGCACAAAUAUCAUCAUCAUGCUCAUUGAGCCACGUGACCCAUUUCUCUGUCUCUGUACUCCCUGUCGCCCUACAUAAAAUAUUGUUACCAGUUCUUCCCAAGUCAAAGAGAUAGCUGUAAAAAUGGAUGUAACCAACUCCUAAUUUCCCCGGUGAAAUUACUCGAAAAUAGACAAUAAUACCUUCACAUGACAGUUAAGAGAUGAAACCCUCACUGCCCAACCAAAACACGCCACGUAUCCGUCUCCUCCCCUGCCUCUCUCACGUGCCUCUGUCACCCACCACAUUCCUUUCCUCCUCCCUCCUUCUUCAGUCCUUAUCCUUCACUCACUCGCUCACUCCCCAACACAAACCAGCAGCUGGAGACAGAGAGAUAGAUUUUUUUACUUCUUCAUGAAGCCCUGAAACUGUCACCUCCACUUUCCCUAAUAUUUACGCACCAUGCCAUCCCGCCUUCUCCUCUCUCUUCCUUCGCCGGAGCAUCACCACCGUACACACCACCACAACCACCUCCCUGCAAUCCUCGCGGGAUCAUUGGCUUUCGCUCUCAUCUCCCUCCUCUUUCUAUUCGUCUUCCUCUACCGUAAGCUCUCCCGCCACCGCACCGCCCCAACUUCUUCUUCUUCUUCAGACCUCAAAUCGCCCACUCAUCUCCAAACCACCAACAAAUGCCGUCACUUCUCUUACUCUCUCCUCCGCCGCGCCACUGCUUCUUUCUCCACCUCCAACCGCCUCGGCCACGGCGGCUUCGGUUGCGUCUACAAAGCCGUCCUGUCCUCUUCCUCCUCGCUCGCCGUCAAGGUCAUGGACCCAAACGGCUCACUGCAAGGCGAGCGAGAGUUUCACAACGAACUCUCCAUCGCAUCAUCUCUCGACUCGCCCUACAUUGUCAGCCUCCUUGGCUACUCUACCGACCGCCGGAAGCGGAAGCUGGUGCUCGUGUACGAGCUGAUGGAGAACCGGAGCUUGCAGGAGGCUCUGAUGGAUCGCAAGUGCGAGGAGCUCAUGGACUGGAGCAAGCGGUAUAGUGUGAUGACUGAUGUUGCUAGAGGCUUAGAGUACCUCCACCAUUUCUGUAACCCUCCCGUGAUUCACGGCGACGUUAAGCCCAGCAAUAUCUUGCUGGAUUCGGAUUUCAACGCCAAGAUCGGCGAUUUCGGCCUCGCUAGAUUGAAGACGGAGGAAAUCGCCGAGUGCGCCGUCGGAGAAGACAACGGAUCUAUUCUGGAGGAGGCGGCGGAGAGUGUUGCAGCGACGACUGGAUACGAAGACAGCUCCACCACCGCGGCAGCAGGUGUCGAUCAAUCGCCGGUGAGUUUGUCUAGUAAGGUUUUGGAUUCGGAUGCGUCGCCGGAGGCGGCGGCGAGGAGCAUGUCGGAGGCGGAUCGAGUGAGUAUGGAGAGUGGGAGAGAUUUGGAGAAUGGAGGAGGAAAGAAAGGUGGAUCGAGAAGGGAUUGGUGGUGGAAGCAGGACAAUGGAGUUGAAUCGGAGUCUGGAAGAGUGAAGGAUUACGUAAUGGAAUGGAUUGGGAGUGAGAUCAGUAAAGAGAAUAGAUCGAAACCUGGAUGGAAUAAUCUCGAAUCCCCAAGCUCCGUCGAUAACAGUCUUUUGACGACGACGACGAGCUUAAAGAUCGAGAAGAAGAAGAAGAUAAGGAAGCGAUUGGAAUGGUGGGCGUCUCUAGACGAAGAGAGGAGGAUGAAGAAAAAGGAAAAGAAUCGGAAACCUAGAGAAUGGUGGAAGGAAGAGUUCUGCGACGAGCUAACAAAGAAGAACGGGAAGAAGAAGAAGAAGAAAAGCAACGGCGGAGGAGAGUCAUGGUGGCAGAAGGAUGAAGAUUCAGAUUGGACUACUUCGACGACGGCGACUAAGAAGAAGAGGAAAAGCAGAGGGAGCAUUGACUGGUGGAUGGACGGAUUAAGCGGCGAAUUCAGAAGGAGGAACAGCAGCAGCCACGAUUGGGCAAGCGGCGAAAUCCCAAAGAGCGGCGGGAUAAGCAGCACCCCUAGCAUGCGAGGAACGGAGUGCUAAGUCGCGCCGGAGUACGGCGGCGGAGGAGCUGGAUGCCAGCUGUCGGAGAAGUGUGAUGUUUACAGCUUCGGCGUGUUGCUACUCGUGGUGGUUUCAGGGCGUAGGCCGCUCCAAGUUACGGCAUCCCCCAUGUCCGAAUUCGAGAGAGCUAAUCUGAUCUCGUGGGCUAGGCAGCUAGCUCACAACGGCAAGCUAUUGGAUCUCGUUGAUCCUUUGAUACAUUCGUUGGAUAAACACCAAGCAUUGCUUGUUAUUACGAUCGCAUUGCUUUGCCUGCAGAGAUCGCCUAGCAAGCGGCCGUCCAUUAAGGAGAUCGUGGAGAUGCUCUCCGGCGAGGCCGAUCCACCGCAUUUGCCUUUCGAGUUUUCGCCCUCUCCGCCGUCCAAUUUCCCGUUCAAGUCAAGGAAGAAAGCUCACCGGUGAGUAGUUAAGUUGCUUACUGUAGUCUGUGUGUCUCUCUGUAUCUUGUCUUUUGUACAAGUUAGUUGCCAUUAUUGAAUUCAAUACAGGAAAUCAGGAUUCUUCCACCAUUACUUUCUCAUCUGAGUUUUGACCUCUGCUACUCGAAUCCAAUGACUAACAGUAGACGUAGAGAGUAAAACCUUUUACUGACAAAGUGCUUAAAGCUCAUAUCUUUGCUCAAGUGCUUAAAGCUAGUGAUAGUCAGCUUUAGCACUGACUUUAAUGGUGCUCUAAAGUUGCAUGAAAUUCAGUACAGCAAGCUGCAAAAUCAUCAUGGCUGGCUGGGUGGGAAAAUGAUUCUGCUCUCUGCAGUCACAUUGCACAUUAUGGUUUUCAUUUGUCACUAAUGUUUGUGCCUCCUGGGUCCCAUCCAUGGAUGCUCUUAGUAGCACUGAUUAUGGAGGCAAUAAAAGCCAUCAUCAAUCAAAAUCAAAAGCUACCUCAAAUUGCAGAUAAUGGUUGGUUCCUUUUCCUUCCCUUUUGCAUUGAUGUGUUUGCUUAAAUGAUUGCUGAGAAUGCUUCAUUUCUACGAAACUUGUAAUGAAAUGAAGAUCCCCACUGGUUUAGUUUUGGGACAGACGCUAAUAAGCUUAUCUUUGUGUUCAUGAACCUGUUCACUGUUCAGCUUCUGGUUUCGGAUUGAUUUGUUGAAAAGACAGAGACUUGCUGCCUGAAAUAUAAGAUAAGCUUAUAUCCAACUCGUAAUUACUUGAGAAAACCUUGCAAGUUGUGAUGUUUCUCCCCCAUUUCUACUGCGUUCCUGCUUGGUGAGAAAUGUUUAGCCGUGUGUCGUUUUCUUUUCUGUAUAUUCUCGGCAUUGGUAGGCGGAUCUUUCUAGGCAGAUAGGUCUGAGAAUUGGUUAUUAAUUAUCGAUCAAUUUGGUUAUUAAUCGUCUCUUUUGGUCGGUUAACUGCCUUAGCCGAUUGGAUUUGGUUGGAGAACCGAUCAUUAACCGACCAUCAUGGUUAUAACCGUUGGUAAAUUGAAAGACCAAUUUAACCGAUUGGUUAAUAUCACAAUUGUGGUAGUUUCUAUUGAAUUUGGGGUAAUUUACUUAGGAUUUGGGGAUAAUGUCACUUUUCUUAACCGACAAUUUAACCGUUUUAAUAGAUUAUCUGAUUUCAUCAAAUGUGUAGAUCGUUUCAUCGACCGAUCUAAUUUUGGUUAAACUGUUUUAACCAGUUAACCAAACCAAGAAGCCAGCCCUAGUAAGAUAGACAUACUAAUUUUGUAUGUCACCCAAAAGUCAAAACCACCUGUUACAUUCAUCUCUGCUUACCCAUUAAAGAAUGGAGUGGACCAACUCAGGACAUCAACGGUCCGGAUCUCCUGAUUUUAGAGGGACAAAAUCGUAAAUUUUGAAACUUGAAGUAAAUUUUAUAUUUGCUAGCAACUGUACAUAAAAUCUUAUCUAGAGUCCGACUAUUUUAGAAUCUGCCGUUGUCAUCAUCCACCAUAACAUGAGCAUGCAUCAUCUUUCUAAGUGGCGUUCCGGUAAAAAAGAAGGUUAGCAUAUCUCCAAGCUCCAAUUCAAAGUUGGGUUAGCUGACGGCGACCCGCCCAGCUCCGUAAUGGCACAGAUAGUGGAAUUUCCGGCCGCUCCCCACGAGCUAUAUCAACGCUGGUUACCUCCCCCGCCUAUUGUGUCAAUUUGUUUUUGGGUUUGGAGUUUAUAGUUUUGAUUUACUAUAAUCGCUAUUUUUUGUUGGUUUCUUUAGUUUUAUUUAUUUAUAUUCAGCGAGUAUUUGUGCCGUGUCUUGAGUAUUUUUUUAUCUGUCGUAUUAUUUAAAAUUGUGAUUUGUGAAGAUUAAAACCGCAAGAAUUAACUGUUUCUCCUUUACGCUCCGUAUGCGGGAAGCUCCUUGCGUAAUGGAACGCGGUGCGUUGAAUAGGCAAACAUUAGGAUGUUUUUUCUUUUGUGAUUAACUAUUGCCAUGUUUUAUUGUUUCUCAUACUGUUAUAGUUUCCUUGAUUUCUGAUAAUAGAAAGAUUACCACUAUUUCUUCUAUCAUUACUUCUCUCAUCCACGUCUGUUUAGUGGCCUAAAUAUAAAAUAUGGGAAUUGAUGUAAGACAUCCUACUUUUUAUUAUCCUAAAUAUAAAAUAUGGGAAUUGAUGUAAGACAUCUUAUUUUUUAUUAUCUUAAAUAUAAAAUAUGGAAAUUAAUGUAAUACAUCCUAUUUUUUAUUAUCCAAAACGCACUGACAUUUGAAUUCAAUAAGUAAAAUUACGUGAUGUCCUUUAAACCUAAUGUUUAAAUACACACAUGACGUAACUCAAAUCAAACACACUAUCUAAUUCGAAUCUCUCAGCUCUCUGAAAUACAAUCCUCUUCUCCUAAGAGUUGGGCCACAGCCAGCCGUCGCUUGCUCGCCAUCUCCAGCCACUCGCCGCCGCCGCUCGCCUCACACGGCCCCACCCGCUGGAAGCUGCCAACACUCUGUCGCCGCCGCCGCUUCCUCUACUCUCAUAUCCGUCGCAAGUCCGCCCCAAGCCGCCGCCUGUCGUUGAGGUACGAGAUUCAAAAAAAAGUAAGGACAGUCGCCAUUGGGAAAAAAAUUUGUUGUAGGCAAGAUUAAAUCAGAAAUUACGUAAAUAAUCAAGUCAAAAAGUAAAUUACUCAAUUUGGCAAUUCCCGUGACUUACAACGCGUCGCGCGUCGUAGGAAUAUGUUUGUCAACGUUUAUUGUUUACAGUUUCCUAUGUUGUGUGUUGCAAUUAAUUUCAACUUCACGUACUUGUGCUAAGGUUUAGGUGAGUGUGUAAUCAGGGUAGUGUUGCUUUAAUUUCAAUCCAUUUCAAGUGUUGCUUUAAUUUCAAUCCAUUUCAAGGGUUGUUUUAAUUUCAAUCCAUAAAAGUCAUAACACCAUACAAGUGGUAACAACAAACAAGUAGAAACAUCUAUCAAUAACAUUAGUCAUAACACCAUAAUAAUACAACCAUAAUGAACCCAUACAUACAAGCAUACCACAAUCAUAAUAAUAUGAGAAGUCCCUAAACCAAAAACACAAUCUACAAGCCUCCCUCUCCAGGCCUCCAAUGAGCUACUCUGGGAUGGUCUUCGGUGUCGCACAUGGCCUACCGAGGGUUGGUUCGUAACCCAUGUCGAAGGUCCCUCCGAGGUGCUGUGUCCUCCUCCCUCUGUCUGACUAUCUGCUCCUUGAACGUCAUCGUCUCGAACUGAGAGUCCGGAUGCUGUGUCUCACCGGCCCACUGUGGGUGUGAGCUGCUGGCUUCAUCGUGACCCAUCUGGGAAACCACUGCACGGACGGAGGUGGCUGGGACCACUGCUGUGAUGGAGGUGGCUGAGACCACUGUUGAGGCUUCAUCGUCGACUGGUACUGCGGGUCGCGAAAGGCAGACAUAUCGGGUAUCUAUGCCCGCGGUACGAACUCAGCCUCGUGGGUCCUCCGGCGUCGGGCACGUCUGGUCGGGAGGAUAGCCUCGGACUCAGUAGAUUAACAGCGUACAAGUCGUAAGCCUUGUAGAUCAGUACGGUGGGGGCCAUCAGUAGGUCACACCCCGAGUCAUCAAGCUUACGCUUCAUACCUCCGCUCUCGUACAUCAUGGAACGCAGACACUACUGAACCGCAUCGGUGUCCUCUCAGCCGAGCUGCUCCUGUGAACCUACCCGGACAGAUAGGUUCUCCAACCCGUCAAUCUGCAAAAUGAAAAAGAAAAUAUGUUAUCGUUGCAUGAUGCGGGAAGCCCACUAAUCGGAGGGGUGCUAGAGUACGUACGAUGGACUGUUGCACUGUCCCACGUCUCGAAGUCUACCGACGAGUGUACUGACGGUACCACACCAUGUACUCGUCGUGGCAGUGCCACCUCUCCGGAUCGUCGAGAAACGCACUUUUUGACACGUGGUCCAAUAUGAUCCCCCCAUUGGACAAGGUACUGAUCCACUCUCACGUCUCACGCGUGCCCGUUCAUCCUCGUUAGUCCGAGCAAGAACAUGACCUAUCCCUCCACAUAUCCACAGUGGGGAUGGGCUGGGACAUCCCAAACUGUCCGACGACAUGGUCUGGCCAGUGCCAAGAGAUGUUGUGAGGUAAAAUCAGUUGGGCAACGACCUUGUGUGUCGCCGGAGAGUGUGUCGAAUUUACACAGCUGCGGAAGGGGGCCUAGUGGAAGACAAAGAAAGUAUAAAUACAAAUAACAUCCUAAAAAGGGAUUACUAAAAAGAAACAGAAUGACACACUAGCUCUUACCACGAACGAGGUGCCCUCAUCGAACAGUUGUCUUUAUUCUGGAAGCAAGAGGCCACGAGUCCUCUCGUGCAUCUAGUUCUUCCACUAAUAUAGACAGGUGUUUCCAAUAAUCCCGACGCAUCUGGACCUCCGAGCAUGUCCUCAUGCAAUCACUGUGAUAUGAUUGGGGACCUCUCUAGUGCCCAAUCUGUAAGCAGCACGUUCCAACCACUGAUGUCACCCGCCCCCUUUGUACUAAAAGACUCCAACCUAAACGUUGACGACCGAGCUCCCGAUAGAGCAACGACAGAACCGCUACCCUCAAGCGAACGACAUCUCUUCUUGCAACCCUAACAGGUACGGUAGGUGGACGUAAGCAGCUGAUCUAUCCGUGAACAGGAACCACCUAUGCACGCCAGCAUGUAUGCCCGUGUGUACUGUCCCAACGUACGACCGUUGUCGGCGGGAAUGCGCUCCGGCUUCUUGAACGUGGAGUGCAACCACCCAAGCCUCAGUCGUCCGUCCUAUAAGACCUCAUUCACCAUCGGCCUCGCUCCCAAAUCCUCCUAUACUAAGUCUAGCAUCUACGGUCCAGAACGCUCGAGAGGGUAGUACAGCGGAUCACCGUCGACUGGAAAAUCAGUCAACAUCGCCACGUCCUCCAGAGUCAACGUGCACUCCCCAUGGUAUAUCAUUAAAGUGUUCGUCUUCGGCCUCCACCUCUCGACCAGCGCCGUCACAAGAUGCGGAUUCGAUGAAAGGGUCGCAGGAUCAAUAAUUGGUAAGAGUCCGACAGCCUCUAGCAAAGGGUGGAAGUAGGGAUGGUAUGGGGGAUGUGAGACAUCCUACGACACGAGAGGGUAAUGCUAGGUUCCUAUUCGGUAUUGUAGGUAGUGAUCAUUAGUAUCUAACUCAUUAAUUAAGUACCUAAUAUGUACUAAUAAAUAAUGAAUCUAAAAUAUUAUGAAUUUUUAUUAGUAUCUAACAUAGUAUUAGGAAACUAUAAAUAUUUUCUACCAUUAGGGAUAAGCACACUAAUUCCUUCUAACACUAGGCAUAAGCAAGUAUUAAUAUUUUCUAACAUUAGGCAUAAUGAAGUACUAACAUUUUUAAUAUUAGGCAACAUUAUUUAACACUUGGCCGUUAUUAAUAUUCUCUACAUAUUAUUCAAAUGGUACCAACCUCAUUGUCAAAAAUUUCAUCGGCUCGAUGUCGGUUGCGCUCGCCCCAAAGUAGUUCUGCAUCGAUCGACUCGGGGUUGACGCACGGAGGUAUCGGUCCAUACAAUUAAUCCAUCCUACAACGAAAAAAUAUUGUAGGGAACAAAUUGAGAAAAUUACUAAAAAAUAACUAAUAUUACCGACUAGUUGAUUGCGGAAAAAGAAUUUACUUCUCGGUAUUGAAAAACCAAAGAAUGAAGAAAUAGAGAAUUAGUGAAUGUGGAGGAAUGAAGAAGGGGAGGAGGGGUAUUUAUAGAAUCCGUUGGAGGCUAUCUACAACGCGUCGCGCGUCCUAGGAUGUGUGGCGCAUUGGAGGCUACCUACAACGCGUCGCGCGUCCUAGGAUGCGUCGCGUGUUGUAAGUCAGGGGAAUUGUCAAAUCAUGUAAUUUACGUUUCAACUUGAUUAUUGAUGAAAUUUCCGAUUUAAUCUUGCCUACCAAAAAAAUUCCGUCGCCCUUGAAAAUUAGUAAUUAGUCAUGCUAAUUAAUGUGAAUUAGUAAAUAUUAGUAACAAUUCAUUUGGAAAUUAAUACUUGAUAAUUGAAUAUCUAUUUAAUUAAUACUUAAAAAUUAGUAAUUAGUUAUGAUAAUUAAAGUUAAUUAGUAAAUAAAAACUUAGAAUUUAGUAAUUAAUUCAUGUUAAUUAAGGUAAAUUAGUAAAUACAAAUUUAGGAUUACAAUGUAAUUAGUGUAAUGAAAAUUUUAUUUAAUAAACUAUUUUCAAUUAGUAAUUAGUCAUCAUAAUUUAGAUGAAUUAUUAAUUUUAAAUUUUAAAUUGAAUGUUUAUUUCAAAAGUAGGGUUUAGUGUUAGUUUUCUAAUUAAUAGUUAUGAUUUAAAUUGCAUAUAUGGUUGGAAGCGAUGUCACAUGGAGAUCAUCGUUUGUCGCGGUUUAUCGAUUACUCUAUUUCUGCCUCAAAUCGAAAAUUGAAGGAGGAAAGAGCGAAGAGAAAUAAAUUAGGUUAGGGGAUAUUGGUCAGACGAGUGCGCAGUUUCAGAUUUCCGGACCGAUAUAUAUGCACCACGCAUUGCAGUCUGCUGGGAGAGAGCUGACGGUUGAUGAGAUCGCUGGGAACUUCUACCGCGGGCGCUACACGUGGCAGAGCUAGGUCUUCUACCGGGGUACAGUCCAGCUGCACCCGCGAGGAGUGGAGGCUUACACAUCUAGCACCUGGUAGGCCAUGGAUCCCCACUCUGAUCUCUAGUUUUGGCGGUCACAUUGCCCAUCACCUCCGGAGCUCGGUUUGGACCUGAGGAGUGGAGACUUACUACGUGACACGUAGAUUUGAACUUCUCCCACCAUGACGGAUCCCUUGCAUUCUGCCGUCUAGGAGGUCUGCCUUUCGGAACAUCAGAUGUCUUCGGAUCAUGAAUCCCCUCAGCCUCGGAUGUAGCUGGAACUGGAGGAGUCUCGUGUAUGAUCGAACUGCUACUUCUCCUAAACUCUCGACUUCCUCAACAGUUUCACGCCAAACGUUGCGGUCAGCACCGACAACUUCGCACUCAGCACGAUGGCGGGACCGCGGGGGAGUGGGGGGGGGGGGGGGGGGGGGUUGGGGAUAUUGUCCAGCUGGGUUUACAUAUCGUCCAACGUAGCUCAAACGCGAUGUAGGUGUCUUAUAUACAACAAAGUGUCCUCUAUACACCACCACUAAACUUCACAUCUGCAAGGCAACCCGUUAGUAGUUCGCAACACACACGAACAUUAACUUAGUAGUUUGCAUUCUUCAUGCAGUAACUGAAUCGCCCAUAAGUUGACUUCCGUGUUCAACUUCCCGUACAGUUUCUCCCAAAUCAUAAAUGACUGUAAUUAAAUAAGUGUAAAUCGAUAAACACGGUCCGAGAAAGUCAUAAACUAAUACAGAAAGUAAGCUACGUACCUUCAUUCGUGA